GUCUAUGGCCAUACCACCCUGAACGUGCCUAAUCUUGUCUGAUCUUGGAAGUUAAGCAGGGUUGGGCCUGGUUUAGUACUUGCAUGGGAGACUGCCAGGGAAUACCGGGUGCUGUAGGAU
rnacentral:rRNA from 1 species